GCGUUCUUAGCUCAGAUGGAUAGAGCAACGGCCUUCUAAGCCGUAGGUCACAGGUUCGAAUCCUGUAGAACGCA
rnacentral:tRNA from 1 species